rnacentral:rRNA from 1 species
GAUUGCCGGGCUUCGGUCUUGCCUUCUGCCCUUCCCUUACUGAUUUUACCCAUGUCUUUUGCGUACUAUUUGUUUCCUUGGUGGGCUUGCCUGCCGAUAGGACAUCAUUAAACCUUUUGUAAUUGCAGUCAGCGUCAGAAAAACAUAAUAAUUACAACUUUCAACAACGGAUCUCUUGGUUCUGGCAUCGAUGAAGAACGCAGCGAAAUGCGAUAAGUAGUGUGAAUUGCAGAAUUCAGUGAAUCAUCGAAUCUUUGAACGCACAUUGCGCCCCUUGGUAUUCCAUGGGGCAUGCCUGUUCGAGCGUCAUUUGUACCCUCAAGCUCUGCUUGGUGUUGGGUGUUUGUCCCGCUUUUCGCGUGGACUCGCCUUAAAACAAUUGGCAGCCGGCAUAUUGGCCUGGAGCGCAGCACAAUUUGCGCCUCUUGUCAUGAUUGUUGGCAUCCAUCAAGACCAUUUUUUGCUCUUGACCUCGGAUCAGGUAGGGAUACCCGCUGAACUUAAGCAUAUCAAUAA